CACGUAGGGGGCAAGCGUUGUCCGGAUUUAUUGGGCGUAAAGAGCUCGUAGGCGGCUUAGUAAGUCGGGUGUGAAACCUCCAGGCUCAACCUGGAGACGCCACCCGAUACUGCUGUGGCUAGAGUCCGGUAGGGGAGCGUGGAAUUCCUGGUGUAGCGGUGAAAUGCGCAGAUAUCAGGAAGAACACCAACGGCGAAGGCAGCUCGCUGGGACGGUACUGACGCUGAGACGCGAAAGCGUGGGGAGCGAACAGG
rnacentral:rRNA from 1 species